rnacentral:rRNA from 1 species
AAUCAACGCUGGCGGCGUGCCUAACACAUGCAAGUCGAACGCGAAAGCGGGGGCAACUCCGUGAGUAGAGUGGCAGACGGGUGAGUAACACGUGGGCAACCUACCCUGAAGUGGGGAAUAACCUGCCGAAAGGCGGGCUAAUACCGCAUAACUUCCCUGGAACACAAGUUUUGGGGAUCAAAGCCCGAAAGGGCGCUACAGGAGGGGCCCGCGCCGGAUUAGCUAGUUGGUAAGGUAACGGCUUACCAAGGCUACGAUCAGUAGCCGGCCUGAGAGGGUGAACGGCCACACUGGAACUGAGACACGGUCCAGACUCCUACGGGAGGCAGCAGUGGGGAAUUUUGGACAAUGGACGCAAGUCUGAUUCAGCCAUGCCGCGUGCAGGAAGAAGGCCUUCGGGUUGUAAACUGCUUUUGUCAGGGAAGAAAUCCCUUGGGAUAAUACCUCGGGGGGAUGACGGUACCUGAAGAAUAAGCACCGGCUAACUACGUGCCAGCCGCCGCAGUAAAAC